AGUGAACGCUGGCGGCGUGCUUAACACAUGCAAGUCGAACGGAAAGGCCCUGCUUUUGUGGGGUGCUCGAGUGGCGAACGGGUGAGUAACACGUGAGUAACCUGCCCUUGACUUUGGGAUAACUUCAGGAAACUGGGGCUAAUACCGGAUAGGAGCUCCUGCUGCAUGGUGGGGGUUGGAAAGUUUCGGCGGUUGGGGAUGGACUCGCGGCUUAUCAGCUUGUUGGUGGGGUAGUGGCUUACCAAGGCUUUGACGGGUAGCCGGCCUGAGAGGGUGACCGGCCACAUUGGGACUGAGAUACGGCCCAGACUCCUACGGGAGGCAGCAGUGGGGAAUAUUGCACAAUGGGCGGAAGCCUGAUGCAGCAACGCCGCGUGCGGGAUGACGGCCUUCGGGUUGUAAACCGCUUUCGCCUGUGACGAAGCGUGAGUGACGGUAAUGGGUAAAGAAGCACCGGCUAACUACGUG
rnacentral:rRNA from 1 species